GACGAACGCUGGCGGCGUGCUUAACACAUGCAAGUCGAACGGAAAGGCCCUGCUUUUGUGGGGUGCUCGAGUGGCGAACGGGUGAGUAACACGUGAGUAACCUGCCCUUGACUUUGGGAUAACUUCAGGAAACUGGGGCUAAUACCGGAUAGGAGCUCCUGCUGCAUGGUGGGGGUUGGAAAGUUUCGGCGGUUGGGGAUGGACUCGCGGCUUAUCAGCUUGUUGGUGGGGUAGUGGCUUACCAAGGCUUUGACGGGUAGCCGGCCUGAGAGGGUGACCGGCCACAUUGGGACUGAGAUACGGCCCAGACUCCUACGGGAGGCAGCAGUGGGGAAUAUUGCACAAUGGGCGGAAGCCUGAUGCAGCAACGCCGCGUGCGGGAUGACGGCCUUCGGAUUGUAAACCGCUUUCGCCUGUGACGAAGCGUGAGUGACGGUAAUGGGUAAAGAAGCACCGGCUAACUACGUGCCAGCAGCCGCGGUGAUACGUAGGGUGCGAGCGUUGUCCGGAUUUAUUGGGCGUAAAGGGCUCGUAGGUGGUUGAUCGCGUCGGAAGUGUAAUCUUGGGGCUUAACCCUGAGCGUGCUUUCGAUACGGGUUGACUUGAGGAAGGUAGGGGAGAAUGGAAUUCCUGGUGGAGCGGUGGAAUGCGCAGAUAUCAGGAGGAACGCCAGUGGCGAAGGCGGUUCUCUGGGCCUUUCCUGACGCUGAGGAGCGAAAGCGUGGGGAGCGAACAGGCUUAGAUACCCUGGUAGUCCACGCUGUAAACGGUGGGUACUAGGUGUGGGGUCCAUUCCACGGGUUCCGUGCCGUAGCUAACGCUUUAAGUACCCCGCCUGGGGAGUACGGCCGCAAGGCUAAAACUCAAAGGAAUUGACGGGGCCCCGCACAAGCGGCGGAGCAUGCGGAUUAAUUCGAUGCAACGCGUAGAACCUUACCUGGGUUUGACAUGGAUCGGGAGCGCUCAGAGAUGGGUGUGCCUCUUUUGGGGUCGGUUCACAGGUGGUGCAUGGCUGUCGUCAGCUCGUGUCGUGAGAUGUUGGGUUAAGUCCCGCAACGAGCGCAACCCUUGUUCACUGUUGCCAGCACGUUAUGGUGGGGACUCAGUGGAGACCGCCGGGGUCAACUCGGAGGAAGGUGGGGAUGACGUCAAGUCAUCAUGCCCCUUAUGUCCAGGGCUUCACGCAUGCUACAAUGGCUGGUACAGAGAGUGGCGAGCCUGUGAGGGUGAGCGAAUCUCGGAAAGCCGGUCUCAGUUCGGAUUGGGGUCUGCAACUCGACCUCAUGAAGUCGGAGUCGCUAGUAAUCGCAGAUCAGCAACGCUGCGGUGAAUACGUUCCCGGGGCU
rnacentral:rRNA from 1 species